GGGCGAGUGGCGGAAUUGGUAUACGCGACGGACUUAAAAUCCGUUGGUCUAAAAACCUUGUGGGUUCAAGUCCCACCUUGCCCACCA
rnacentral:tRNA from 1 species